AGAGUUUGAUCCUGGCUCAGGACGAACGCUGGCGGCGUGCCUAACACAUGCAAGUCGAGCGAGGAAUGUCGGAUAGCUUGCUAUUUGAUAUUUCUAGCGGCGGACGGGUGAGUAACGCGUGAGCAACCUGCCUUUAUCAGGGGGAUAACGCAUCGAAAGAUGUGCUAAUACCGCGUAAGACCACAGCCUCACAUGGGGCAGGGGUCAAAGGAGCAAUCCGGAUAAAGAUGGGCUCGCGUCCGAUUAGCUAGUUGGUGAGAUAACAGCCCACCAAGGCGACGAUCGGUAGCCGACCUGAGAGGGUGAUCGGCCACAUUGGAACUGAGAGACGGUCCAGACUCCUACGGGAGGCAGCAGUGGGGAAUAUUGGGCAAUGGGCGAAAGCCUGACCCAGCAACGCCGCGUGAGGGAAGAAGGGUUUCGGCUCGUAAACCUCUGUCCUAUGGGACGAAGGAAGUGACGGUACCAUAGGAGGAAGCCCCGGCUAACUACGUGCCAGCAGCCGCGGUAAUACGUAGGGGGCGAGCGUUGUCCGGAAUGAUUGGGCGUAAAGGGCGCGUAGGCGGCCUGCUAAGUCUGAAGUGAAAGUCCUGCUUUCAAGGUGGGAAGUGCUUUGGAUACUGGUGGGCUGGAGUGCAGGAGAGGAAAGCGGAAUUACCGGUGUAGCGGUGAAAUGCGUAGAGAUCGGUAGGAACACCAGUGGCGAAGGCGGCUUUCUGGACUGAAACUGACGCUGAGGCGCGAAAGCGUGGGGAGCAAACAGGAUUAGAUACCCUGGUAGUCCACGC
rnacentral:rRNA from 1 species